UUUAUGAUACAGCUGCCAAGCGCCAACCACAGAACCUGGAGACCUAAAAAGAUAUGUAAUCUCAAACCCAAAAUUCCAGUUUCAUUAUCUAAUUAUCAUGGCAUUCUGUAUGUCCUCAACAUUAUCUCCCUUAACAAAUUUAUGCUCUACCCAUUUCCAUAAACAACCUUUUCUUUCAUUUCCACUCUCUCUUUCCCGUUCUGUAGCCAACCAAAACCUUUCCAGCCUCUGCCUUGCCGCUAAGUCUCAAACGGGGCCCGUCAAGAAACAUUCGCCUAAUAACAAAAAGAAGACCAAGGACAGAAAUAAAAAUUCUAUAGAUGAAUUGAGUCUCAGUGAUGUUGAAAUUGUUGCUGAUAAUGAUUAUAAAAAUGAACCUUUGGAGCCUCUGCCGAAACCCCCUGCCGGUUUUGUUGUGGAUGAAUCUGGAAGGGUUCUCGUGGCUUCUAACAAGCGAAUUGCUACUAUUGUUGAUUCUAGCAAUAAUAAUCCACUGGAUUGUGUUAUAAGAAGAGUGUUUACAAGUUCACGAGGAGAUGAAUGCAUGCUGUUGUGCCCAGUUGACACGCCGGUUCAGAUAUUAAAGAGCACUAAUAUUGACGGGUGGUCAGCUGUCGGUGAUGAAGAAGUUGAAGCUAUUCUUCCUACAGCUGCCUAUGCUCUUGCCAAGAUACACAUGCAUCUAGUACAUAGCGGAUUCUGUUAUACGGCGCGGGGAGGAUUUUGCUACUCAGAUGAUGACAUAUUUGAUUUCCGCACAGAUGAUGGAGAGGAUGUAGAUGGCUUGCCUACAGAGGGGGUUGAAAUUACAUGUUUUCAUUUGGAUGGUGCUCAUUACAUGAUUUAUACUCCAUCUGAUCCACUUCUAUUUGUUGCUGUCAAGGAUGGUAGUGGGAUAUUGCAAAUUGCUGAUGACGACCGCAGUACGGAUUAGACGAUUGGUGCAGGACAUGAGUCACAAGGAUCUGUUGGAGGACCCAGCAGUGAUAAGCGCCAUAGAUGAAGAGACCGAAUUUAAUGCCUUGGUGGAGGAAGAGGCUGCUCUUCUUGAAUCUUUAUUAGGUAAAGAAAGAUAACCACGUUUCGACUGUCAGUUCAGUUCUAGUGAACCAUCUGCCUUGUAGAGAGAAGAGCAAUAAUAAUCAAAUGUUUCCUUUUCAGUGUAUAUAACAAGUUUUGUUUAAAUGUCAACUCGAUUGAGAAUUACUUUGGGGUUCUAAGGAUCAUUUAAACUGAAACAUAUUUAUUUAUUUUCUGAAUAUUAAAAUAAAAUACUUUAAAGAUA